AUGGCUCAGGACGAACGCUGGCGGCGUGCCUAAUACAUGCAAGUCGAGCGGACAGAAGGGAGCUUGCUCCCGGAUGUUAGCGGCGGACGGGUGAGUAACACGUGGGUAACCUGCCUGUAAGACUGGGAUAACUCCGGGAAACCGGAGCUAAUACCGGAUAGUUCCUUGAACCGCAUGGUUCAAGGAUGAAAGACGGUUUCGGCUGUCACUUACAGAUGGACCCGCGGCGCAUUAGCUAGUUGGUGGGGUAAUGGCUCACCAAGGCGACGAUGCGUAGCCGACCUGAGAGGGUGAUCGGCCACACUGGGACUGAGACACGGCCCAGACUCCUACGGGAGGCAGCAGUAGGGAAUCUUCCGCAAUGGACGAAAGUCUGACGGAGCAACGCCGCGUGAGUGAUGAAGGUUUUCGGAUCGUAAAGCUCUGUUGUUAGGGAAGAACAAGUGCGAGAGUAACUGCUCGCACCUUGACGGUACCUAACCAGAAAGCCACGGCUAACUACGUGCCAGC
rnacentral:rRNA from 1 species